CUCGGCUCCUCUCACCCUGGCCUGCACUGCUUCGAGGAAAAUGCUUUAGGAUUGGAAGGGUUUCAGGAUGCCGGGUCCUCAAGGGCUGUGCAGCCGUCAGUGCUGAGGUUAAGGAUGCAAAUCCAUAACAAGACCAG
rnacentral:lncRNA from 1 species